ACUUUUUGUAAACGCCCCGCACAGCCUGGACCGGCCUGCCCCCGCCCAGCGAGCCUCAGGGGCCCAGCCGACAGCCAGGCUCACGCGCCCUUGAAAUCUGCCGGUACUCGCUCUGCGGGCUGGGCUGGGAGAUGACGAGGACCCCGGUGGGGUCUGCCCGCACCCGGCCAAAGCCCAGGAAGCUCGGGCCCCAGCGAGGAAAGGCGCUCCAAGCCUCCUCGCGGCUUUCAGAGGAACAGAAUCCCCAGCCCUGGUGAAGAAGAGGAUGCCUGAUGCGUGCACCCUGGGAAGGGCUGGAAUCGGUCUCCCCAAGAUGUGCCUUCACAUGGCUGUCCGGCAUUCGAAGGCUCAGAAAACAGGGCCGGGAAUCCUGCAACAGCGGCAGAAGCCGCCCGCGCCUCGGGCUUCCGGCGGCCCAGCUCUACUAGGGAAGCGUCGCGGCUGCUCUGAGGCAGGCAGCGCUUCGCUAGAACCACUCAGCUCGUCCCGCGCCGCCGCCGGCUGCCUGAACCAGGUUCCGCUGUCCCCUUUCCUAGCGGGACCCCGAAACACCCGGCGGCUUCCCGCUCCUGAGCGGGAGAGAAUAGAGCUUGCUGCAACCCUCUGCUUGGAGGGAUGGCCUCUGCGGUGCUUGGCUAGCAAAGGGAAGCUUCACUGUGUCUAUUAGUACAUCCCCAUACACUCCACGCCUCAACAACUGUCAGCACUCACUCCCUCCCGGCCCCUCACAGGGCCCUUUGCACCCACACCUCAGGGACUCGGUGUCCCUCCACUCAGGUCACGUUACUCCAUCCACUUCUCUCUCCUUCUCCCUCUGUCAACUCCAAAUCCCCUCUAGUUCUCCCUCCCCUCCUACUUCUCUCACACUCACCAGCUACACGUACUAAUUCAGAUUUUGCACAUGUUGGUGGAAAACAUGUCAAGCCAAUGUGCAGACCCUAAGGCUUUUCACACGCUGCUCACUUUCGCAUCUC
rnacentral:lncRNA from 1 species